AUGCAAAAGAGGGGAGUAUGCGCGCGCGCGCGCGCGCGUGUGUGUGUGUGUAACUAAAAUCAGUUUUUAACAGUCGUAAUUGGUGCUUGUUUUAGGAUUACUCUCUCGCCUUUAUAUUCAGAUAACGAUGUGGAAUGAUAUCGUUUAUGUAUUAUUGCUGUUGCUUUCCAUAGCAAUCGGACCGUUCUAUCGCAAAAUAGAAGAACCUCGUGCAAAACAAUGGGUCGCGACCUUCAUCGGCUUCGCGUUAGUGCUCUGUGUUUCAGGAUCAUCAGUCCUACAUCCGAUCAUUACAGUUCUCGUCAACGCCGUUAUUAUAACCAACUUAUCAUGGAAAAAAUGUCACCUAAUUAGUUUAUAUUUCUCCUUUUUCUACUUACUUGUGAUCUUCCGAUUGGGCGACUAUUUCGGUUUACCGAACCCGCCGACUCACACGAAUCUUGUUGUAAUGAUUCUCACCUUAAAACUACCUGGACUAGCGUUUGAGAUCAACUCUGCAUCUACAGCAUCAACUGAUGAUGCUCAAGGAGUGAAUUCCGAUGCACUGAAGAAAAUUGAUUUCAUGGACGUAAUACAUUAUAGCUUCGGUUAUAUGGGUGUGUUAACAGGUCCAUAUUAUCGUUAUAGAACGUACUGGGACUCUCUGCAUAGACCAUUUUCCAGCUAUGUUGACCCGUGGCCGCUCACCUAUUACAAACUCAAACAGAUUGCUGCAUUUAUUAUGCUGUUUCUGGUGAUAAAUCAUCUCUUCCCCAGCGAUUACACGCAAACGGUAGCGUUUGAAGAGCACUGUUUCUUCUAUAGAUUUUUCUAUAUGUACCCAGCAUUCGCUGGUUUUCGCCUGAGAAUGUUUAUCGGUAUGGCACUGGCUGAAUGUGCUUGUCAAAUGUCAGGACUAGGAGCUUACCCAAUCUGCUGCCAAUCUACACCCGGUUUAGGUCCGCGCGAUUACAAAAUGGUCGAAAAAUUGUCGCUUGAUUGCGAGAGAAUAAAAAGAGAAGAGCAGAAUUUCGAGACGGUGCACAAUAUGAACGUGUGGGAAGUGGAAGCGUCUCCGUUUGUUAGGCACACGAUGAAAAUGUGGAAUACAUGCAUACAAUAUUGGAUGGCUGUAUGCAUUUACAAACGAUUCCCUUAUAAAAAUUUCAGAACCAUUGCCACAUUGACUUUAUCUGCCUUAUGGCAUGGUUACGCUGCAGGAUAUUAUUUUUGCAUUUGCCAAGUUCCGUUGUACCUACCUUUCGAGGAUAUUUGUAUCAAAUUCUACAAUCAAUGCGAAGAAAAUGGAUUUCAGUGGAAGGAUUUAUUUGCAGGUACUGCGAUGCAUAUAUUCCUUUGUUAGAAACAGCAUUUAUUCAUGAAUGUUUCAAAAACAAAGAUGUAUAUGUAGACAACAACAACGUUUUAUUUGUACAUGACAAUUUGGAUGUCCAUAAUAAACAUCGAGAAAUUUGGGUGAAACCUUGGGUAGCUCAAAGGAAAGAUCAUGGUCAUCAUCACAAUCUUUUUCUGGAGCUAUCUUUUCUAAAUCCAGACAAAUUUCGCAGGUGCCUUCGAAUGGACACAAAUACAUUCGAGUUUUUGCUUCAAAAAGUUACUCUUUUGAUUCAGAGACAAAACACACUUGCGGGAAUGUAUCUCACUUGCUGAAAGGUUGUCAGUCACAUUGUGACAUUUAGCUACAGUUUUCAGGUGAGAUUUCAGGUGAGACACAGCAGUCUUUAUCACUUUUCGUCUGGGGCAAAGUACCAUUUCUGGUAUUAUCAGAGACACCUGUUCUGCUCUGAUCGAAGUCCUACAGGUGGAUUAUUUGAAGUUUCCAUGUAGCAAAGAAGAAUGGAGAGUUGUGGCUACUGAUUUUGGAGAGAGGUGGAAUUUUAAAUUGUAUCGGAGCCUUGGAUGGCAAACAUGUGCUAAUUGAUCCACCUCUAAAAUCACUUUAUUAUAACUAUAAAAAUAGUUAUAGUAUUGUGCUGCUGGCAUUGCUUGAUGUCCAGCUACGUUUUAUUUAUAUGGAUGUAGGCACUAAUGGCCGCAUCAGUGACUCUCGCAUUUGAAACAAGUCCACUCUGAAAGCUCACAUUGACAGCAAUUCAUUGAAAAUCUUUCCUGCAGCAUCUUUGCCUGGCACAGAAACUGAGUUUCCCUUUGUCAUUGUGGGUGAUGAGGGAUUUCCACUAUCUACGAACAUACUCAUACCUUACCCUGGGGCUUCAUGCACUGGACGUAUUGAUAGGAGAAUUUUUAAUUAUAGGCUUUCAAGAGCUCGCAAAUGCUCCGAAAAUGCUUUUGAGGUUAUGGGAGCUCGUUUUCAGAUAUUUCGAAGUCCAAUGAGGUACGAUUCCCACUGUGCAAAAAAGAUCGUUCUUGCAUGCUGUUGCUUGCACAAUAUGUUGCGGUCUCAAGUCGUUGGGCGAGUAAUGUAUACCCCACUUAUCUUCCUCGAUAAAGAGGAUGUAUUUGGAGGCGAAAUGAGGCUUGGAGAUUGGCGUAAUGAGUCAGUACAAGGCAUUAUAAACUUCGUUCAUCAAGGUGGGAACAGACAUUCCAAUCCAGCCUUGCAAUUAAGAGAUAUGUGGUGUGCAUAUUUAAAUACAGUAGGAGCUGUACCGUGGCAGAUGCAAAUAAUUCAUUCUUAAUGGCAUAAAUUUAGACAUUAAUGUAUGCAUAAAAACGAAUUUUUUUACUCAUUUUUAACAUAGUAAGAAUUGUAAAAAUUUACUAUUUAUGUAGACCUGUGAUUAAAGCGAUGAUAUAGAGAAAUGUUAUAGUUAUCCACCAAAAUAAAAGUUGAACAAGUAAUUCUG
rnacentral:misc_RNA from 1 species